AUUGAACGCUGGCGGCAGGCCUAACACAUGCAAGUCGAGCGAGCGGCGGACGGGUGAGUAAUGUCUGGGAAACUGCCGGAUGGAGGGGGAUAACUCCUGGAAACGGUAGCUAAUACAGCAUACCAUCAGAUGUGCCCAGAUGGGAUUAGCUAGUAGGUGGGGUAACGGCUAACCUAGGCGACGAUCCCUAGCUGGUCUGAGAGGAUGACCAGCCACACUGGAACUGAGCCACAGUCCAGACUCCUACGUGAGGCCGCAGUGGGGAAUAUUGCACAAUGGGCGCAAGCCUGAAGCAGCCAUGCCGCGUGUGUGAAGAAGGCCUUCGGGUUGUAAAGCACUUUCAGCGGGGAGGCGUUACCCGCAGAAGAAGCACCGGCUAACUCCGUGCCAGCAGCCGCGGUAAUUC
rnacentral:rRNA from 1 species